GAUAUUAGCCCAAAACCUAGGAUACCCAAGAUAUAAGAUACAAUUUGCUAAACACAUAAAACUCAAGAAGAAUGAAGACUGAAGUGUGGACACUAUGCCCCUCCUUAGAAUUGGGAAUAAAACACCCAUGGAAGGAGUUACAGAGACAAAGUUUGGAGCUGAGAUGAAAGGAUGGACCAUGUAGAGACUGCCAUAUCCAGGGAUCCACCCCAUAAUCAGCAUCCAAACGCUGACACCAUUGCAUACACUAGCAAGAUUUUAUCAAAAGGACCCAGAUGUAGCUGUCUCUUGUGAGACUAUGCCGGGGCCUAGCAAACACAGAAGUGGAUGCUCACAGUCAGCUAAUGGAUGGAUCACAGGGCUCCCAAUGGAGGAGCUAGAGAAAGUACCCAAGGAGCUAAAGGGAUCUGCAACCCUAUAGGUGGAACAACAUUAUGAACUAACCAGUACCCUGGAGCUCUUGACUCUAGCUGCAUAUGUAUCAAAAGAUGGCCUAGUAGGCCAUCACUGGAAAGAGAGGCCCAUUGGACACGCAAACUUUAUAUGCCCCAGUACAGGGGAACACCAGGGCCAAAAAGGGGGAGUGGGUGGGUAGGGGAGUAGGGGUGGGUGGGUAUGGGGGACUUUUGGUAUAGCAUUGGAAAUGUAAAUGAGCUAAAUACCUAAUAAAAAAUGGAAAAAAAAGAUAAAUCACAAAUGGAGGUGAUAAUAUAAAUAAAGAUUAUGUAGAUGAUUAUAUGAAUUAAAAAAAAAAAAAGAAGAAAGUUGCUUGAGGAAAAUCCAGGCAUCCUGGAAAUAGGCUUGCCUGCUUUAUUCCAUACCAAUAUGAGCUUGGGGUAGUGGGGAAGCAGUGGUCCCGGGCAUAAAGACACUAAGAGGCAACUGGUCUGAGGGGUUUAUCCUUUCCUAUAUAAAAUGAAGCUCUCAGCCUCAGAUGCCACAGUGAGAACACCAGGCAGGAACCAAUGUGAGAGAUGUGGGCUGAGGACUCUCCAACCAUAGCAACUACACUUGUGUGGUUUUCAUUGACUGGAUUCUACCUUGAAAAUACUUGCAGUAGCGUGUUCUAUUUUCAGUGUUUGAACCGCUCCCAGCUCCACACUGUUUAAGACACAUUCUAACUUAACUGUGUAGUGGUCUCCACACAGUACCUCAUCAUCAUUUCAUGCUGGGGCCUGCCUGUGCCUUUAAGGAAAUGGCAUUGGGCGGAUGCAGCAUCGAUGGAGGCUAAAGACUGACAAUCCCUGGCCUCACAAUAUUAUUAUUUAUGCUUUAAUAAGCUAUGGUUUCUUCCUCUGUAACCUUCUUACUAUUUGUGCUUUAAUAAGUGCUGGUUUCCUUUCUCUUUCACUCAAGGAGCUCUCACUGGCCAGGCAAGAGGCUUGGACUCAGUAACUCUUUGUGAACCAGAGAGAAAAGAAAGGAAAAGAAUUAAAAUUUUUUACACAGGCAUAUGAGCGCACACACACAUGCACGCACACACACUGAGUGGGCCUGACCACCUGUGUCAUCAACUCCACAAGUGUGCACACAUACCUAAAUACAUACACAUACACCUACACACAUAUGUAUAGACAAACAGACAUAUAUACAUUUGGUGGGUGGGGCAGAGCUCCCCAAGCCACACACAUACAUUUGGUGGGUGAAUGGGGCAGAGCCUCAGAUGCCAUACUUUCUUCCUUCUCUCUGGCCUUCUUAGACCUUCUUAGACAAAAGUUCUUAGAAAAUUAUCUCAUAGAUAAAAUGUUACACAAAAGGGGAGUUACAGAAGGUUGACAGUUCAAAGCAGUGUUUUAUUCUAUAAGUUCAGUAUAAGUUAAAAGCCACAGUUUCACGUGGCCUUGCUUUAUCAUAGUACACACUUGUGGCUUCAUCCUUGGAUCUGAUCUAGAAUGAAUGUUUUUCCUUGAUCACAGAUUUGUCCCAAGCCUCAUUCUCUCCUUAGUGCAAUUUAUAAAACCUCACUGCAUUCCUUAUUAUGCAGCCUAUACUUACUAAUCUAUGAGUAGUUGGGACAUUCUAUUCUUUUUUUUCUUUCCUUAUUUGUUUAUUUAUUUUACUUGCCACAGUUGCCCUAAGCCCUGGAAAGGUCCUCACAAUUUAAAUUUUCUUGUGGUAUUAAAUAAAUGUUGUAGUUAAAGGAGCAUCCAUACAGUAAAAAAGCUAAAAAACUUCAAUUCCUUAUAGAAAAAAAAAUGAUUCUAAGCUCUAGAAAUUUUCAAGGUUUUUUUUUUAAGUAAGAAGGUAAAAUGAGCACAUAAUCUUUUCUAUUUUUAUAUGAGCAUGCACUAAAAUCCUGUUCUUUUUCUUGUGUUAAUAUAGUGAAGCCUUGUGACAUUUAAACCAAAGCCAAUCUUUUCUGUUCUUUUUCCUAACUUUAUUAUAUCUUUCUGGCAAAACAACUGAAACCAUCUCUUAAAACUUUCUUCCUAAAAUUAUUUGAAUCAAAUCAGUAAUUUUAUAAAAUCAUUAAUUCAUCUAAACAGCACUUAUUCAUGAAAGUUCAUGCCAGGAGCCAAUUUCAAAACAACCCCUGUUCUCAUUCUUUUUAUGGAAUUCUGAAUCUCCAAGAAGGAACCUUAUCCACGGGCUUAGUGCUUCAUUUCUUCCCGACCUCUCUUUGAUCGUAGACUGGACUUGCACAAUACCCUGGCUGGAACACUUACCUACUGUUAUUUUCCAUUGAUUUAUGAACACAGAAAUUGUAUGGAAUGUGCCUUCAUAGCAUUGUUAGUUAACACAUGACACUGAUUUGGAAAGCUGUGUGGCAUAUAGCUUUACACAAGCACUAGCUGUCAUAACUGGGAUACUGUUCUAUUCUUUGCAUCUUGGGCUCCAGUUAUUUGGCUGGGUCUUGUUUAAAGAUCUCACCAUCCAUCUCCCAAAGUUCAAUUCCAUAUCCUCCCUAUUACUCUUCCCCCACCUUGUUUUCUUUCUCUGUUUCUUAAGUAUUUAGGGUUGCAAUUGGUCACAUUCCCUACUUAACAGUAUUGUCAUAGUUGGUUGGUCUGCUUCCAGCCUCUCUUUUUAAAACCUUUUUCCUUUUAUCCAAUAACUCUCGCUGAGUUCCUACCCACAAAACAUUUAAAUAUGUUUGAUAUGUACCACUGUAGUGGAAAGUGUUCUCACUAAAGUGAGAUACAAAAGUGUAUUAUUAUCAAUAUGAAAUUAUUUCUUAAUUUUUUUUUAGAUUUUAUUUUAUUUUAUUUUAUGUGUAUGAGUGUUUUGCCUGUAGGUAUGUUUGUGUACCAUGGGCAUGCCUUGUUCCUGCAGAAGUCAAAAAAGGGUGUCAGAUUCCUUAAAACUGAACUAUGAUGGUGAAAAGCCUCCAUGUGGGUGCUGAAAACUGAACCUAGAUCCUCUUCAAGAGCAGCAGGUGUUCUUC
rnacentral:lncRNA from 1 species